UUCCCGGUAGCUGAGUAGAAUAGCGCUAAACUUUUAAUUUAGAGACAGUUGGAAUAAUACAUUGACUUCGGGAAA
rnacentral:tRNA from 1 species